CAAUAGCGUAUAUUUAAGUUGUUGCAGUUAAAAAGCUCGUAGUUGGAUUUCGGGUGGGACGCAGCGGUCUCGCAUUGCGUUUGUACUGCUGCAGCCCUCCUUCUUGCCGGGGGCGGCCUCUCGGACUUCACUGUCUGGGGGUCAGAAUCGGCGAUGUUACUUUGAGCAAAUUAGAGUGUUCAAAGCAAGCUUACGCUCUGAAUAUAAUAGCAUGGGAUAACACGACAGGACUCUGGCCUAUCGUGUUGGUCUAUAGGACCAGAGUAAUGAUUAAGAGGGACAGUCGGGGGCAUUCGUAUUCCGUUGUCAGAGGUGAAAUUCUUGGAUUUACGGAAGACGAACAUCUGCGAAAGCAUUUGCCAAGGAUGUUUNCAUUGA
rnacentral:rRNA from 1 species